AACGACGCUGGCGGCAUGCCUAACACAUGCAAGUCGAACGAGACCUUCGGGUCUAGUGGCGCACGGGUGCGUAACGCGUGGGAACCUGCCUUUAGGUUCGGAAUAACAGUGAGAAAUUACUGCUAAUACCGGAUGAUGUCUUCGGACCAAAGAUUUAUCGCCUUUAGAUCGGCCCGCGUUGGAUUAGGUAGUUGGUGGGGUAAUGGCCUACCAAGCCGACGAUCUGUAGCUGGUCUGAGAGGACGACCAGCCACACUGGGACUGAGACACGGCCCAGACUCCUACGGGAGGCAGCAGUGGGGAAUUUUGGACAAUGGGCGCAAGCCUGAUCCAGCAAUGCCGCGUGCAGGAAGAAGGCCUUCGGGUUGUAAACUGCUUUUGUACGGAACGAAAAGGCUCUGGUUAAUACCUGGGGCUCAUGACGGUACCGUAAGAAUAAGCACCGGCUAACUACGUG
rnacentral:rRNA from 1 species